UCCUGGCUCAGAACGAACGCUGGCGGCGUGCUUAACACAUGCAAGUCGGAUGCGAACGGGCUUUUCGGAGCGCAAGUAGCAUGGCAGACGGGUGAGGAGCACGUACCUGACCUGGCUCUUAAUGGGGGAUAGUCCUUCGAAAGAGGGUUGAAUACCGCAUACGCUCAGGAGGGCGACCUUCUGAGGAAAGCUGGCCUCUGCCGAUGCAGGCUGGUGUUGAGAGGGGGGGGUGCGGCCUAUUAGCUAGUUGGUAGGGUAAGAGCCUACCAAGGCGACGAUGGGUAGCUGGUCUGAGAGGAUGAUCAGCCACACUGGGACUGAGAGACGGCCCAGACUCCUACGGGAGGCAGCAGUGGGGAAUUUUGCGCAAUGGGGGCAACCCUGACGCAGCAACGCCGUGUGAGUGAGGACGCCUUUCGGGGUGUAAAGCUCUGUCAGCAGGGACGAACGUGUCGCGUAGAAGAUGCGCGGGCAUUGACGGUACCUGGUGAGGAAGCCCCGGCUAACUCCGUGCCAGCAGCCGCGGUAAGACGGAGGGGGCAAGCGUUGUUCGGAAUUACUGGGCGUAAAGCGCGCGUAGGCGGCGAGACAAGUGCCGAGUGAAAGCCCUCGGCUUAACCGAGGAAGGGCUUGGCAGACUGUGUGGCUAGAGUUUCGGAGGGGGAGGCGGAAUUCCUGGUGGAGCGGUGAAAUGCGUAGAGAUCAGGAAGAACGUCAGUGGCGAAGGCGGCCUCCUGGACGAGAACUGACGCUGAGGUGCGAGAGCGUGGGGAGCGAACGGGAUUAGAUACCCCGGUAGUCCAACGCCGUAAACGCUGGGCACUAGGUGUGGGGCCGAGGACCGGGUCCGUGCCGGAGCUAACGGCAGUAAGUGCCCCGCCUGGGGAGUACGGUCCCAAGGCUGAAACUCAAAGGAAUUGACGGGGGCCCGCACAACCGGUGGAGCAU
rnacentral:rRNA from 1 species